GCGCUGGGUUGUGGUAAGACCAAGGCUUGUCCAAUUCCUGUCAACUCCAAGGAUGUGGAAGAAAUUUCGUGUGAGACAAGUGAGUCUGCGGAGAUGUUUAAAACCCAGGACCCUGGUGCCUUCACUUAGACGAAUCUAAGUUCUCGUUCUACGUCACACUCCACACGUAGUGACAGAGAGCCACACGGCCAGGUGAAAGCGCACACACAUCCAGCGUGCACACACACUCUCCGUGGAAGCCUUCCUCAUCCUGUCCUUCCCUCAGCACUGGAGUCCGAGACUUCCCAGAGGAACAGAACAGGACCAGUUGGAGUGAAGAGGUCGUCGAAGUCACCAGAGGGCUGGACUGGGAACAGAGCAAAGGGCCAACCAGGCGCCGUGGACACAACCGAAGGCAGAUGACCGCAUGGACACGUUCCUUCAGGUAAAUCCUCCUGAAACUUGUACCAACUAGUUUUUGACUGACAGCGAGCAGCGAGAGACUUUUCUUCACUCUGAGAGAACCAACCCAAACACCGAUCUUUCCCAAGGCGACCUGUAUCACCAGGACCAUUUCUUUGCCAGGUCACCGCCUGCCUUCUAGCCAGGAGCCCGGGGCAUCCCUGCAGCUAUCGUUCGCUCCUCCAAUGAAUAUGUCAUCCGGCCGCACUGGGGCCACCUCUGCAGACUACCGUUGGCGUGGGAUGGCGAGGUGUCAUUCGCUCCAAGAACAUGUUACAGUGUUCGUGUUCUUCCUGGCUCUGAGUUAUACCUUCGGGACCUGCGUCAUCCCUACAGGGGGCUGUCGUUCACCCAUAAAACCCAAAGUCCCGGGCUGGAAUUUCUCGUGGGCCAAAGGCUCUGCUGUUCAUCCACCAUGGAAGUGGGUGAGGAAGGCUCCAUUACCCAGCUUUGGCCAUCCCGUGAGCAUGCCGCCCAAGGUUGGACUGCACACCCCGUCCCAGGUCCUUCCUGCAGAGCCGGGCCCCCUGGUCACUGCCCCAGAUCUCCAGGACCUUCGGUUGAGCUGGGUCCCAGCACCUGGACUCAAGGUAAGGCCCCCAGAGUGGUUCCCGCUGGCCACCCAGGGUGCCACGGAGGGAAGGGAAAAAUAAAACAUCCAAACCUCAAAAGACUAGGGAAUUUCUGGAAGGUCCAACCAAAAUGAUUCAUCGUGACCUCAGGCAUGAUUUUUUUUCCCCCUACUCUCCACUCUUUUCCAUUUCAACUAAUAUGUAUCUUACUGAUUUGAAGAAAACUCCCGUGUUUGAAACUUCUAGUGCUUAAAUGUGGGUAGGCACUACGCUAUGGGACUGCAAAUAAAAGACAGUAUUUAACCUCGUGAGGAAAAAGAGUGAUGAAUACUUGUACCCUAUGCUGUAGAGACUGAAGCCCCAGUUUAUUUUCCUGAACGAAGGCUUUGGGUAUACAACUAUCAGUAAAGAACAGGCAUGCUUCUAAAAAUAGCAGUUAGCUCUUAAUUCAGAUUAAAUUCACAAAUAAAUAACUUGCAGCAUUAGCACUGAUGUUUGAGCCUUAAAGACCUUGAUUUCAAUGGCAAGGUGUCUAACAAAUGCAGCUGUUUGAACAAGCACAUACGGAGGCUUACUUCUUCCAAUAUCGUGUAUUGUAUUAUCCACAAACCGCAUGGCUUGUGAAGAGGGGGAAGGUAUUUAAAAUAUUAAGUGAUGAUAGCUAGCUAGUAGUCUAGUUAUCCUUACUGACUGUCCGAUUGAUAGCAUUUUACCUUGGGCUUUUAGGAUCUGCUUCAGGCCUGGUUAACUCUAAGUCACAAUUUUUGGGAGUGAGAAAGAUCCUACAUAGACUGCUGUAAGUUCAUCUUAGCUCUGAGAGAUGACUCAUAUGUGUAUAACUCUAUUUCAUAUACCUACCUAUUCAUUCUAAUAUUUGGAAAGCUUCUUCCCUUCCCUUCCUUUCCAUUCCUUCCUUUUCUUUCUUUCCUUCCUUCCUUCCUUCCUUCCUUCCUUCCUUCCUUCCUUCUUUCCUUCCUUGGCGUCUUUUAACCAGUGUCUCCCCCUUUUCCCCGAUAUUGACAAAUCAAUUUCCCCAGCUUGCAAAUAACUAGAACCCCUUGGUCUCUAAGAAUUUUCUUGUCAGUCUGUUCCAAUGUCCUAUCGACAACUUGUCAAUUACCCGUGACACCUGAGAUUUCUCCCAGCAGAACUUAGGCUGUGUAUGUUCACAGGGCGAUUAAUCUUUAAAACCACGAUGGUCCUGGAGACCAAGGGCCUAGUCAGCCCAGAGCCGUCUUAGCUGUGCAGCUGACACCGAGAGUCACACAUUCAAUGUACACGUUAAAGAAGUAAACCGAGUUUCAGAUUUUCGCGUUUUCUCUGCUGUUCACCGGCUGCCCAUGCCGGAGAGAGCUUGGAGGCCAUUUCGCCCAACCCUUUCAUUUUACAGAUGAGGAAAACAGGCCUAAUUGAUAGCUGGCGAUACUAAAUUAUAGCCCUUCUAAAACUCAAUAGCAGAGUUAGUAGGCUUCUUAAUGUGCUCAAUUACCGUAUGGAUUCCACGAGCCGAUGAGCGCGCCGUGACCUUGAGAAUUUACAUUCUGCGGGUUUUCGAUGUUUAUGUUUCUACCGUGGUAUUUGUAAUCCCAAGUCCCGGUCACCUUUUACCAAUGAGGCCUCGCCGGUCCCCGGCUCCGGGCACCUCUCCUCUUCUGUACUCGGCCGGGGCUCCCAGGUACUCAGCAUCGACAUCUGCGAAGUCAUAGCAGGUGUAGCCAAGAGACCGGGUCCUGCGGCUGUUUAGACUCCUUCCUCUCUCGUCUCGUCUCCUGGCUUCUCGAGAGCUAGCUCCAGUUUCUUCCACAUCUUUCCACCCUGCUCACAUUUCCCCAAAGGACCACACUUAGUCCGUUCCCUGGACCAAGGGCACAGUUCAGCAGCGUUCAUCUUCUACUGCUCAGUAUUUUCCCACAACGUUUCCUACCUUCCUUCCCCUCCCCCUCAGCUGGAACAGAAGCUUCGUGAGAACAAGCAUCUGCUUGUACCGUGGUGUCCCCAGUGUUUGAGAGAGUCCGGAAAAUAGUAGGUGCUCAAUAAGUACAUGAGCAGUGGGUAUAACCUUUCCGCUUUCCCUUCUUUCUUAGGGAAACAGGGGUCCCCCCCUCCUUUCCAGGACCCACCCCUGGGAGCAGCAGUGCCUCCUGUCCACCCUCAAAUCUUCAACUCCUAGAUCAUGUCCUACUUCCUGAAACCUCAUUUCCCUGGUUGUCCACUCUGAUGAACUACACGGUUGCCCAACCCUCUGGCUGCUCUUGCCCAGCUGCAUUGCCGAAAAGUCCUCCAGUCCUCCCCAGUGCGGCCCGCCUCCUAGCUUCAGGCCUCAGCUUCCUUCUGCCGUUGGUAUUUUUCCUUGGUACAGAUCUCGUUGACUCAUGCGGUUCACGUCUGCUCCCGGGCGGCGAUUCCCAAAUCUUCACCACCAGCCCCAAAUUCACUUCCUAGAGAAGAACGCUUCAAAGCAAACGAGGAGAGCCAAUCUCACGGCGUUGCCUUCAAUACUCUGUCUUUCAAGCCUUCUUCUUCAUCCAGGGACAAAGCAGCUCCUGUUCCCCUGCCACCACCUCACAUCUAACAGGAUGAAGGCGAUGUCCUCAAGGAGCCCCCAAGCCCUGCGAGGUGUGGCUCGGCCCCGAGCUCCUGCCUGACUCUGCUCCACUCCCCUACUCCCUGGAAGGUGCAAGCUCCGUGCCACCCGGGGCCUUUACAGACACCGUGUGUCCCUCUGGCCAGAACGCUCCUCUCACUCCAGGCCCGCCUACCUACCUGCCGAGGGCUCCUCAGUCUUUAUGUCUCCACCUUAACGCCAGGGAAGCCUUCCCGGGACCCCAGACUAGGAUGUAUGACACAGCCCGGGUUCGAUUCUCCCAUCCGUUCCUGAAUUUCUCCCUAAGGCUUCCCACAAAUACCUUUAAACCUUCCUCUCCUGGUUUAUCUAAUCCCUCCCUUCCCUGCUCUACCAUCAACUGCCUGAAAGCAAGAACCGUGCUGGUCUCGGAUUCCCUGCUGGAUCUCCGGCACCCGGUGCCGAGCCUAGCACAUAACAGGUGCUCGGUGAUCUCUUGGCGUUCAGAUGAAGGAACGAGUAAUGAAAUCCCUUCAGACUUUCCACCUUUAAAAUGUUUUUGAAGUGUAUGUCUCUAAAGGUUGCUGUUUGCGGGGGUGGGGGGGGAGCAAUGGUUUUUUAUUCAUUGACAAGAACUUGCUAUAAUCAAAGUAAGAACCCUCCGCUGUCGUCUGUGUGAACCAGAAUUUCCUUUUGGUACGUCCUAUUCCGUACAUUUUGUUUAUUGCAAGCACCUAAUGAUAAUAGCUCUUAUAUAAUAAUUAGUGUGAGCAGGCAGCACGCUAUGGUGCUUUAUGUACUACAACCUCACACGGCCCCAUCAUGUGUAAGAAUUUUCAGUGUCACCAUUCCGCACAUGAGAAACUGAGCCCAGAGGGGUUAAGUAAGCUGUCGAAAGUCACACAGCUACUAUUAACGGAAGCAGGACCCUGUACUCUUAACCUUUAUGCUGUUUAUGAAGAAAGGCUUUUUUUUUUUUUUUUUUUUUUUAAGCCCAGAGGAGGUAAUGUUCAACCUGGCUUUUAAAGAACAGGUGGAAAUUAACCCGAGAAGGGGAGAAUGAGAACCUUCAGGAAGGAGUGGCAGGCGGGAGACAGGAGCCCCGAGGGCACUGAACUCGGGGGAAGAGGCCACGAUGCACCCAGGCCACAUCCUGAAGGGAAGAAAGGUGAAGUGAGAGCAGAGCUGGAGUCUUUAGUUUUGCAAAGGUGAAUCACCCCCCGGGCCAUUAAUCAUCAAUUGAUAGAGACCAACAAUUCCAAAUUUAUUCUAAACAGAAGAAAAAGUAGUCAGCGUGCAGCCGGAAAAACAAGGCAGCCUGAAAUCGGUAUGUAGAUUUACAACGUGAGACGCUUUUUUAUAUCUCUAUGCCUUCAUUAUAGUAAAAAUAUUACAUGUGUGAGGCGAGGAAAAUGGGAGGGGUUAAAGGUGGUGGAUCCAGAGUCUGAGGGAGUGAGAGACUCGUUAAGGGGCAAACCAACGUGAAAUUUUGCAAACUAUGUAAUGACGCAUUGUAACAACAACGAGGUGCUCUGCGAACAGUGCUGAGAUGAAGGUUACGGAAAACGAACCGGCCUGGCUGGCUUCCCAUUUUUUUUUUCCUUCCACUUUUAAUGCUCCAGCCAUGCUCAGCUUGAGUUUUAUUAAACAGAAUACGCCAGAUAAAAGAUUUGUUUCUCUACGAGUACUGUCUGCAAAAGCAGACGCGUUCAUUCUAAUGUGUUCCAGGUUACGGUCAGACAAACCCAAACGCUCUGCAUUCUAUUCUCUUUGGCUAAAAUCUGAAGGGGACCCUGUUGAGCCGCCUUCUCUGUGUUAUGUUUGAGCUCAUCCAGACAAGAAUAGUGAGAAUCCCCGAGUUAAAGAAACCUCUUCCCCGAAGAGAAAACCGGGGGCAGUGCGUUAGGGAGGCUAACGCAGUACAAUUCGUCUUGGUUGGUUGUUUUUUUUUUCCCCCCAGACAUAAAUUUUCCUGUUUUACCAGUCAUUCCACAACAAUGCACAUCCAAGCCAUGCUGUGAUUAGAGGGGAGCGUAUGCCUAUUACCCAAGUUCUUCACAUGUCGGAGCACGGAGAGACGAACGGUGGGAAUACAGAAUGAAGUAUCAGGACGGACAAAUUGAAAACUCUCAAAGUUGGACUCAACGGAGUGCUAAGUUUUUAGAAGGAAUCAGCGGUGGGCUACGUAGGAGGGGGAAAAUCAUUCCUUCAUGCUUUAAAAAAUCAGUACUUAUCACCGGCCCACGAGGUGGAUGGCACUCAUCUACGAGCACGGUGGAGACUGGACAUCUCUGGAAACUAACAACCUGAUGUUCUCCGCGCCUGUGUGCAAGUGUUAUUUUAGAACGUUCAGGGAGAGUGAGGGGAUAAGGGUCUUCAUCAAGGAGGGAAAAGCCCAUCGCUCUCAUUCCACCCGCAUAUCGCAGUGUGGUCGCUUUCAACUGUGCGCUCCUGGAACACCAGCGUCACCUGGGAGAUUGUUGGAUGCGCACAUGCUCGGGCUCCAUCCCAAAGCUACUGAAACCGGAAACUCUGACCCCUCCAGGUGAUUCUGACGCAGCUAAAGCUGGAGCACUUUCGUCAAGGUGGCAGAGAGGGCAGGCACGGGAGCUUCACAGGGGCACUACUGCCUCAUGUCAGCUGUUGGGAACUUGGAACACAAACGCUACACACCAUAAGCAAUAAAUGACUUCAUUCCAUGUGUGCGUUAUUGGCUUGAAGUAGAGAGGGAUGUUGACCUCUCCGUUCAGUAGUUUCAAGGACUACACUUUAGUAAAGAUAUCACCCUGCUAAGAUUGCGUUCCCAGCCCACAUGUCGGAACAAGAUAACGAAAACCGGAGAAAUAUACACAAUUUCCAGAGACUAAAGAAGACUCUAAUGGUUUGUAUGGAAUAUUGCCUGUUUGUGGGAUGAGAAGAGGGGACGUUAGGGGAGCAUAUCUUGUAUCACUCUUUCCAUCCUUAGCUUUUGGAAACCGCUGUUGUUUCUUAACGCGUCAGAAGUGAAGCCAGGUAGAUUGCAGAACCACUAGGGGAAAAAUACCUAAGGCCGUGACAUAAAAUUAUGUGGAAUGAGUGUGUGUCUGGACCCCGAAGUCAGUUUCGAGGACGACGUCUGCUGCAGAAUACAAUGCUGUCAGUUGGGCGCCCAUGAUGAAACGCGAAUGGUGAAGCAUACGGGUCAGAUGGAUGGGUGCAAAGGAGGAGACGCAGGAUCUUCACAGAUGACGGUUACGGGUGACAAUAGGGGCAGUGAUGCAGAGAGCGUAGUGAGAAUCGAGUGUGCAAGGGGCCGUACGGGUCGGUAACCGGGGCCACUGACGUGAGGACAGGGUACGUCUGGUAACUGUUCACAGUACCCGGCGGCCCAGAGAGGAAGUGGGAGGCAUACGGGCACCCCUGCGUGUGAGACGGACAGAAAGGUGGGGAGGUCUGCAGACAGCUACCUUCGGAAGAAGCAAUCCAGAAGAGAAGGAUGCAAAAGAGCCUUUCGAAGUGCGAACAGGUUACGUUACACUUUGGAGGUUGAAGGGGCACGUGUGGUGUAUGGACAAGGGCUCCGGUCUAGUUUUUAAAGGCUUUGGACUUUGUUC